GACGAACGCUGGCGGCGUGCUUAACACAUGCAAGUCGAGCGGAGCGGCCAACGGGCGAGUAACGCGUGAGUAACUGCCCCCCUCCCUGGGAUAACAGUUGGAAACGGCUGCUAAUACCGGAUAGUGGGGGAUGACUCGCGGCCUAUCAGCUUGUUGGUGGGGUAGUGGCCUACCCAGGCGAAGACGGGUAGCCGGCCUGGGAGGGCGACCGGCCACAUGGGGCUGCGAGACGGCCCAGACGCCUAUGGGGGGCAGCAGUGGGGAAUAUUGCACACUGGGGCAACCUCUGAUGCAGCAACGCCGCGGUCGGGAUGACGGCCUUCGGGUUGUAAACCGCGUUCAGCCAUGACGCGGUAGUGGCAGAAGAAGCACCGGCUAACUACGUGCCAGCAGCCGCGGUAAUUC
rnacentral:rRNA from 1 species